GCCCCCGUAGCUCAAUUGGCAGAGCAGCUCCCUUUUAAGGAGAAGGUUGGGGGUUCGAUUCCUCCCGGGGGCA
rnacentral:tRNA from 1 species